rnacentral:lncRNA from 1 species
GAAUUAUAGAAAUGAUGAUGUUAAACCCAUGAAAUUUGAUUGAAUUGUGGGAAUGAUAAAAAUGUUGAUGUUAAACCCAUGAAAUUUGAUUGAAUUGUGGGAAUUAUAGAAAUGAUGAUGUUAAACCCAUGAAAUUUGAUUGAAUUGUGGGAAUGAUGAAAAUGUUGAUGUUAAACCCAAGUAAUUUGAUUGAAUUGUGUGAAUGAUGAAAAUGAUGAUGUUAAACCCAUGAAAUUUGAUUGAAUUAUGGGAAUGAUGAAAAUGAUGAUGUUAAACCCAUGAAAUUUGAUUGAAUUUAGGAAUUAUAAAAAUGAUGAUGUUAAACGCAUGAAAUUUGAUUGAAUUGUGGGAAUGACGAAAAUGUUGAUGUUAUACCAAUGCAAUUUGAUUGAAUUGUGGGAAUUAUAGAAAUGAUUAUGUUAAACCCCCGAAAUUUGAUUGAAUUGUGGGAAUGAUGAAAAUGUUGAUGUUAAACCCAUGAAAUUUGAUUGAAUUGAGGGAAUUAUAGAAAUAAUGACGUUAAACCCAUGAAAUUUGAUUGAAUUGUGGGAAUGAUGAAAAUGAUGAUGUUAAACCCAUGAAAUUUGAUUGAAUUGUGGGAAUGAUGAAAAUGUUGAUGUUAAACCCAUGAAAUUUGAUUGAAUUGUGGGAAUGAUGAAAAUGUUGAUGUUAAACCCAUGAAAUUUGAUUGAAUUGUGGGAAUGAUGAAAAUGUUGAUGUUAAACCCAUGAAAUUUGAUUGAAUUGUGGGAAUGAUGAAAAUGUUGAUGUUAAACCCAUGAAAUUUGAUUGAAUUGUGGGAAUGAUGAAAAUGUUGAUGUUAAACCCAUGAAAUUUGAUUGAAUUGUGGGAAUGAUGGAAAUGAUGAUGUUAAACCCAUGAAAUUUGAUUGAAUUGUGGGAAUGAUGAAAAUGUUGAUGUUAAACCCAUGAAAUUUGAUUGAAUUGUGGGAAUGAUGAAAAUGAUGAUGUUAAACCCAUGAAAUUUGAUUGAAUUGUGGGAAUGAUGAAAAUGUUGAUGUUAAACCCAUGAAAUUUGAUUGAAUUGUGGGAAUGAUGAAAAUGUUGAUGUUAAACCCAUGAAAUUUGAUUGAAUUGUGGGAAUGAUGAAAAUGUUGAUGUUAAACCCAUGAAAUUUGAUUGAAUUGUGGGAAUGAUGAAAAUGUUGAUGUUAAACCCAUGAAAUUUGAUUGAAUUGUGGGAAUGAUGAAAAUGUUGAUGUUAAACCCAUGAAAUUUGAUUGAAUUGUGGGAAUGAUGAAAAUGUUGAUGUUAAACCCAUGAAAUUUGAUUGAAUUGUGGGAAUGAUGAAAAUGUUGAUGUUAAACCCAUGAAAUUUGAUUGAAUUGUGGGAAUGAUGAAAAUGUUGAUGUUAAACCCAUGAAAUUUGAUUGAAUUGUGGGAAUGAUGAAAAUGUUGAUGUUAAACCCAUGAAAUUUGAUUGAAUUGUGGGAAUGAUGAAAAUGUUGAUGUUAAACCCAUGAAAUUUGAUUGAAUUGUGGGAAUGAUGAAAAUGUUGAUGUUAAACCCAUGAAAUUUGAUUGAAUUGUGGGAAUGAUGAAAAUGUUGAUGUUAAACCCAUGAAAUUUGAUUGAAUUGUGGGAAUGAUGAAAAUGUUGAUGUUAAACCCAUGAAAUUUGAUUGAAUUGUGGGAAUGAUGAAAAUGUUGAUGUUAAACCCAUGAAAUUUGAUUGAAUUGUGGGAAUGAUGGAAAUGAUGAUGUUAAACCCAUGAAAUUUGAUUGAAUUGUGGGAAUGAUGAAAAUGAUGAUGUUAAACCCAUGAAAUUUGAUUGAAUUGUGGGAAUGAUGAAAAUGUUGAUGUUAAACCCAUGAAAUUUGAUUGAAUUGUGGGAAUGAUAAAAAUGAUGAUGUUACACCCAUGAAAUUUUAUUGAAUUGUGGGAAUGAUGAAAAUGUUGAUGUUAAACCCAUGAAAUUUGAUUGAAUUGUGGGAAUGAUGAAAAUUUUGAUGUUAAACCCAAGAAAUUUGAUUGAAUUGUGUGAAUGAUGAAAAUGAUGAUGUUGAACCCAUGAAAUUUGAUUGAAUUAUGGGAAUGAUGAAAAUAAUGAUGUUAAACCCAUGAAAUUUGAUUGAAUAUGGGAACUAUAAAAAUGAUGAUGUUAAACGCAUGACAUUUGAUUGAAUUAUGGGAAUGAUGAAAAUGUUGAUGUUAAACCCAUGCAAUUUGAUUGAAUUGUGGGAUUUAUAGAAAUGAUGAUGUUAAACCCACGAAAUUUGAUUGGAUUGUGGGAAUGAUGAAAAUGUUGAUGUUAAACCCAUGAAAUUUGAUUGAAUUGUGGGAAUUAUAGAAAUAAUGAUGUUAAACCCAUGAAAUUUGAUUGAAUUGUGGGAAAUAUGAAAAUGAUGAUUUUAAAUCCAUGAAAUUUGAUUGAAUUGUGGGAAUGAUGAAAAUGUUGAUGUUAAACCCAUGAAAUUUGGUUGAAUUGUGGAAGUUAUAAAAAUGAUGAUAUUAAACCCAUGAAGUUUGAUUGAAUUGUGGGAAUGAUGAAAAUAAUGAUGUUAGACCCAUGAAAUUUGAUUGAAUUGUGGGAAUGAUGAAAAUGUGAGUUAACCAAUAAAAUUUUAUUAAAUUGUGGGAAUUAUAGAAAUGAUGAUGUUAAACCCAUGAAAUUUGAUUGAAUUGGGGGAAUGAUGAAAAUGUUGAUGUUAAACCCAUGAAAUUUCAAUGAAUUGUGCGAAUGAUGAAAAUGAUGAUGUUAAAACCAUGAAAUUUGAUUGAAUUUGGGAAUUAUAAAAAUGAUGAUGUUAAACGCAUGAAAUUUGAUUGAAUUGUGCGAAUGAUGAAAAUGUUAAUGUAAAACCCAUGUAAUUUGAUUGAAUUGUGAGGAUUAUAGAAAUGAUGAUGUUAAACCCACGAAAUUUGAUUGAAUUGUGGGAAUGAUGAAAAUGAUGAUGUUAAACCCAUGAAAUUUGAUUGAAUUGUGGGAAUUAUAGAAACGAUGAUGUUAAACCCAUGAAAUUUGAUUGAAUUGUGGGAAUGAUGAAAAUGUUGAUGUUAAACCCAUGAAAUUUGAUUGAAUUGUGGGAAUGAUGAAAAUGUUGAUGUUAAACCCAUGAAAUUUUAUUGAAUUGUGGGAAUUAUAGAAAUGAUGAUGUUAAACCCAUGAAAUUUGAUUGAAUUGUGGGAAUGAUGAAAAUGUUGAUGUUAAACCCAUGAAAUUUGAUUGAAUUGUGGGAAUUAUAGAAAUGUUGAUGUUAAACCCAUGAAAUUUGAUUGAAUUGUGGGAAUGAUGAGAAUGUUGAUGUUAAACCCAUGAAAUUUGAUUGAAUUAUGGGAAUUAUAGAAAUGAUGAUGUUAAACCCAUGAAAUUUGAUUGAAUUGUGGGAGUU